ACGGAGGGUGCAAGCGUUAUUCGGAAUUACUGGGCGUAAAGCGCGUGUAGGCGGUCCUGCAAGUCUGAUGUGAAAGCCCCGGGCUUAACCCGGGAAGUGCAUUGGAAACUGUGGGACUUGAGUACUGGAGAGGAUGGGUGAAUUCCCGGUGUAGAGGUGAAAGUCGUAGAGAUCGAGAGGAAUAGCAGUGGCUUAGGCGCCCAUCUGGACGGUAACUGACGCUGAGACGCGAAAGCGUUGGGAGCAAAAAG
rnacentral:rRNA from 1 species